rnacentral:rRNA from 1 species
UACGUAGGGUGCGAGCGUUAAUCGGAAUUACUGGGCGUAAAGCGUGCGCAGGCGGUUUUGUAAGCCAGAUGUGAAAGCCCCGGGCUUAACCUGGGAAUGGCAUUUGGGACUGCAAGGCUUGAGGGCGGCAGAGGAGACUGGAAUUCCUGGUGUAGCAGUGAAAUGCGUAGAUAUCAGGAGGAAUACCGAUGGCGAAGGCAGGUCUCUGGGCUGACACUGACGCUCAUGCACGAAAGCGUGGGGAGCAAACAGG